rnacentral:rRNA from 1 species
UACGUAGGGGGGCUAGCGUUGUCCGGAAUUAUUGGGCGUAAAGGGCUCGUAGGCGGUUUGUCGCGUCGGGAGUGAAAACACCGGGCUUAACUCGGUGCUUGCUUUCGAUACGGGCAGACUAGAGGCAUGCAGGGGAGAACGGAAUUCCUGGUGUAGCGGUGAAAUGACGCAGAUAUCAGGAGGAACACCGGUGGCGAAGGCGGUUCUCUGGGCAUGUCCUGACGCUGAGGAGCGAGAGUGUGGGGGAGCGAACAGG